rnacentral:lncRNA from 1 species
AUUCCUCCACAUUUGGGCAUUAAAGCCUCCAAAUCUGCCCUGAAACCCUGUACAUUUUCUCAGAAAUCCCAGAAAUUUGGCCUAAAAUUUGCUAAAUUUGGCCAGAAUCCUCUAAAUUUGCCUCAAAUCCUGCCAUUUCCCCUCCCCCAAAUCCUGCAAACUUUCCCCGAAUCCUGCAAAUCAAGACUGAAAUCCUGCAAAUUGGGACUGAAAUCCCACAAAUUUGCUUCAAAAUCCUGCCAAUUCUCCAAAAUCCCAGCAAUUUGGCCUACAAUCCUCCAAAUUUGCCUCAAAUCCUGCCAUUUCCCCCCUGAAAUCCGGCAAGCUUUCCCCGAAUCCUGCAAAUCAAGACUGAAACCCCACAAAUUUCCUUCAAAAUCCUGCCAAUUCUCCGAAAUUCCAGAAAUUUGGCCUUAAAUCUGCUCAAUUUGGCCUACAAUCCUCCAAAUUUGCCUCAAAUCCUGCCAUUUCCCCCCUGAAAUCCGGCAAGCUUUCCCCGAAUCCUGCAAAUCAAGACUGAAAUCCUGCAAAUUGGGACUGAAACCCCACAAAUUUCCUUCAAAAUCCUGCCAAUUCUCCGAAAUUCCAGAAAUUUGGCCUUAAAUCUGCUCAAUUUGGCCUACAAUCCUCCAAAUUUGCCUCAAAUCCUGCCAUUUCCCCCCUGAAAUCCGGCAAGCUUUCCCCGAAUCCUGCAAAUCAAGACUGAAAUCCUGCAAAUUGGGACUGAAACCCCACAAAUUUCCUUCAAAAUCCUGCCAAUUCUCCGAAAUUCCAGAAAUUUGGCCUUAAAUCUGCUCAAUUUGGCCUACAAUCCUCCAAAUUUGCCUCAAAUCCUUGCUUUUUUUUUUUUUUUUCUGCAAAAAAUCCUGCAAAUUUUCCCCAAAUCCUUCGCUGGGUGUUUAUUUUUUUU